rnacentral:rRNA from 1 species
AUGCAACAAGGCCAUCCAAUUGCUUUCCUCAGUCGUGCUUUGGGGGUGAACAACCGCAAGUUAUCAGUCUAUGAGAAGGAGUUCUUGGCAGUCCUACUCGCUGUCGAUCAUUGGCGUCAGUACUUAGAGCGAGGACCCUUUGAAAUUCUGACAGACCAUAAGAGUUUGUGUAAUCUGGGGGAGCAGCACCUCGGAUCUGAGCUGCAACGCAAAGCAAUGGCGAAGUUGGGCGGCUUGCAAUUCAAAUUCAAGUACCGUAGA